GACGAACGCUGGCGGCGUGCCUAACACAUGCAAGUCACGGGGGUAGCAAUACCAACCGGCGAACGGGUGAGCAACACGUGAGCAAUCUGCCGAUCUCUGGGGGAUAGCCGGCCCAACGGCCGGGUAAUACCGCAUACGCUCAUCGGGGGACAUCCCCUGGUGAGGAAACCUCCGGGGGAGAUCGAGGAGCUCGCGUCCUAUCAGCUAGUUGGCGGGGUAACGGCCCACCAAGGCGACGACGGGUAGCUGGUCUGAGAGGAUGGCCAGCCACAUUGGGACUGCGACACGGCCCAGACUCCUACGGGAGGCAGCAGUGGGGAAUAUUGCGCAAUGGACGAAAGUCUGACGCAGCGACGCCGCGUGUGGGAUGAAGCUCUUCGGGGUGUAAAACCACUGUUGCCCCGAGACGAACCUCCCUUUUUCGAGGGGACUGACGGUAUCGGGUGAGGAAGCACCGGCUAACUCUGUGCCAGCAGCCGCGGUAAUACAGAGGGUGCGAGCGUGUCCGGAAUCACUGGGCGUAAAGGGCGCGUAGGUGGCUUGUUAAGCGUGUGUGAAAGCCGGGGCUCAACCCGGUCUGCGUGCGAACUGGCGAGCUUGAGC
rnacentral:rRNA from 1 species